AGUGAGAUUAUAAGAUAUAGGACCAAUAUUAUUUAUUUGGAGAUAACUAAUAUGGAAUUGAUCGGACCUAACAGAAUUACCGUUCGACGGACGAAAAAAGACAAAUUUUAAGUUAGAAAUCGAAGUGGUUUGAGUCAAUUUCUUUAAGGACCAAAGAGUGACUUUUGCCAUAAAUAUAUAAGGAUUUCAAAUGGAUAUUCAAUUCAGCAAAGACCAUUUGAUUCUCAGCUCCAAAUCCCGUAGCUUUCCCUUCCUCCAUGAAAGAAUAAAAACCAAACUUCAAAUCCUCAUAACUUUCUCAAUUUGGAUCGGAAUUGAGUGAUUCUUGCGGCCACGGAACGAGGAAAGGAUCCUAUACUAGAUUAUAGAUUCAAUUUGAGGUGUAAUUAAGCUUCCAUGGAGAUGUUUUGAUGGUGAAUCGGAGUUUGAAUCCUUUGGAAAUGGAGAUUCGUGAAUGGGUACGAUAAGGCGAUCUAAUAGCGGACAAGGAGUUCAGGGAGCUUACGCUAUAAUAAGAAAAGAUUUUGGAUAAGCAAGUUUGUAUGUUGCAGGUGUAUGGUCUAUGACACGACAGACUUCUACCCUUGUUCCAGAAGUCUUUAUAUGCAGGAAGAAGGAGUCAACCAAUAGUGCUGCAGUAGGAUCGAGUCCUAGCAUAUGUAUGUUUGUUUGUCAAACGAUUUUCGUGUAUGAUAUAACUCUGAUUAUAAAAGUGUUUUGAGACUUCCGCUAUAAAACUGUUUUCUUUGUUUUGAGAAUGGGCUGUGUUAGGAUGUGGGGCAUUGCAUGAUAAGACCCAAGUACCUAUGGAACGCUUUGUGUUUUGAAACAGACGUUUGUACACGUCAAAGCUCAAGAAGUUUUAAUGAAUUUGAUUUGUUUA